rnacentral:rRNA from 1 species
GACGAACGCUGGCGGCGUGCCUAAUACAUGCAAGUUGAGCGCUGAAGGUUGGUACUUGUACCAACUGGAUGAGCAGCGAACGGGUGAGUAACGCGUGGGGAAUCUGCCUUUGAGCGGGGGACAACAUUUGGAAACGAAUGCUAAUACCGCAUAAAAACUUUAAACACAAGUUUUAAGUUUGAAAGAUGCAAUUGCAUCACUCAAAGAUGAUCCCGCGUUGUAUUAGCUAGUUGGUGAGGUAAAGGCUCACCAAGGCGAUGAUACAUAGCCGACCUGAGAGGGUGAUCGGCCACAUUGGGACUGAGACACGGCCCAAACUCCUACGGGAGGCAGCAGUAGGGAAUCUUCGGCAAUGGACGAAAGUCUGACCGAGCAACGCCGCGUGAGGGAAGAAGGGUUUCGGAUCGUAAAACUCUGUUGGUAGAGAAGGACGUUGGUGAGAGUGGAAAGCUCAUCAAGUGACGGUAACUACCCAGAAAGGGACGGCUAACUACGUG